rnacentral:tRNA from 1 species
CCCUGGUAGCUUGGAAGGUAAAGCGUCUGCCUACAAUGCGGGAGACCCGGGUUCGAUUCCUGGAUCAGGAA